CCCGGGUCUUGUACACACCGCCCGUCACACCAUGGGAGUGGGAUGUACCAGAAGUAGGUAGGCUAACCGCAAGGGGGCCGCUUACCACGGUGCGUUUCGUGACUGGGGUG
rnacentral:rRNA from 1 species